rnacentral:rRNA from 1 species
GACAGAGGGUGCAAACGUUGCUCGGAAUCACUGGGCGUAAAGGGCGUGUAGGCGGGAAGGAAAGUCGGGCGUGAAAUCCCUGGGCUCAACCCAGGAACUGCACUCGAAACUUCUUUUCUUGAGUGCCGGAGAGGAAAGCGGAAUUCCUGGUGUAGAGGUGAAAUUCGUAGAUAUCGGGAGGAACACCGGUGGCGAAGGCGGCGACCUGGGUAGAUACUGACGCUGAGGUGCGAAAGCGUGGGGAGCAAACGGG